GACGUAGGGCGCGAGCGUUGUCCGGAUUUAUUGGGCGUAAAGAGCUCGUAGGCGGCUUGUCGCGUCGACUGUGAAAACCCGCGGCUCAACUGUGGGCUUGCAGUCGAUACGGGCAGGCUGGAGUUCGGUAGGGGAGACUGGAAUUCCUGGUGUAGCGGUGAAAUGCGCAGAUAUCAGGAGGAACACCGGUGGCGAAGGCGGGUCUCUGGACAGUUCCUGACGGCUGAGGCACGAAGGUCAGGGGAGCAAACGGG
rnacentral:rRNA from 1 species